AAUGCCCUCUCCUUGAUGCCC
rnacentral:sRNA from 1 species